GCCGAUAUGGCGCAAUGGCAGACGCAUCCGGUUUAAGCCCGGAUGGAUUCGACCCAUGAGAGUUUAAAUCCUUCUAUCGGCA
rnacentral:tRNA from 1 species